rnacentral:rRNA from 1 species
GACGAACGCUGGCGGCGUGCCUAAUACAUGCAAGUCGAGCGGGGAUUAUGCUUGAUCGCUUCGGUGAGACGGCAUAUAUCCUAGCGGCGGACGGGUGAGUAACGCGUGGGUAAUCUACCUCGUAGUUCGGGAUAACAGGCCGAAAGGCUUGCUAAUACCGGAUGAGUUCAUGCUUAUGCAUAUAGGCAUGAAGAAAGGGCUAGCCCGCUAUGAGAUGAGCCCGCGUCCCAUUAGCUUGUUGGUGGGGUAAUGGCCUACCAAGGCAACGAUGGGUAGCCGGCCUGAGAGGGUGUACGGCCACACUGGGACUGAGACACGGCCCAGACUCCUACGGGGGGCAGCAGUAGGGAAUUUUCGGCAAUGGGCGAAAGCCUGACCGAGCGACGCCGCGUGAGGGGCGAAGGCCUUCGGGUUGUAACCUCUGUCUGGGGGAUGAGAACGGACGGUACCCCGGAGGAAGCCCGGCUAACUACGUG